AGAGUUUGAUCAUGGCUCAGGAUGAACGCUAGCGGCAGGCCUAAUACAUGCAAGUCGAACGGAUAUGAGGACUUCGGUUCUCAUGUUAGUGGCGCACGGGUGCGUAACGCGUAUGCAACCUACCUUUUACUGGGGGAUAGCCCGGAGAAAUCCGGAUUAAUACCGCAUAACAUCAUUUGAGGGCAUCCGAAGAUGAUUAAAGAUUUAUUGGUAAAAGAUGGGCAUGCGUGACAUUAGCUAGUUGGUUGAGGUAACGGCUCACCAAGGCGACGAUGUCUAGGGGUUCUGAGAGGAUGAUCCCCCACACUGGUACUGAGAUACGGACCAGACUCCUACGGGAGGCAGCAGUAGGGAAUAUUGGGCAAUGGACGCAAGUCUGACCCAGCCAUGCCGCGUGCAGGAUGAAGGCCUUCUGGGUUGUAAACUGCUUUUAUCUAGGAAGAAAAAACCCUUGCGAGGGGAACUGACGGUACUAGGUGAAUAAGCACCGGCUAACUCCGUGCCAGCAGCCGCGGUAAUACGGAGGGUGCAAGCGUUGUCCGGAUUUAUUGGGUUUAAAGGGUGCGUAGGCGGCCCGUUAAGUCCGUGGUGAAAGCCAACAGCUCAACUGUUGAACUGCCAUGGAUACUGACGGGCUUGAGUACAGACGAGGUUGGCGGAAUGGAUGGUAGCGGUGAAAUGCAUAGAUACCAUCCAGAACACCGAUUGCGUAGGCAGCUAACUAGGCUGUAACUGACGCUGAGGCACGAAAGCGUGGGGAGCGAACAGGAUUAGAUACCCUAGUAGUCC
rnacentral:rRNA from 1 species